GGCAGCAGUGGGGAAUAUUGCGCAAUGGGCGAAAGCCUGACGCAGCGACGCCGCGUGAGGGAUGAAGGNNNUCGGGUUGUAAANNNCUUUCAGCAGGGACGAGGCGAAAGUGACUGUACCUGCAGAAGAAGCACCGGCUAACUACGUGCCAGCAGCCGCGGUAAUACGUAGGGUGCAAGCGUUGUCCGGAAUUAUUGGGCGUAAAGAGCUCGUAGGCGGUUUGUCGCGUCGGAUGUGAAAACUUGGGGCUCAACCCCAAGCCUGCAUUCGAUACGGGCAAACUAGAGUUCGGUAGGGGAGACUGGAAUUCCUGGUGUAGCGGUGAAAUGCGCAGAUAUCAGGAGGAACACCGAUGGCGAAGGCAGGUCUCUGGGCCGAUACUGACGCUGAGGAGCGAAAGCGUGGGGAGCGAACAGGAUUAGAUACCCUGGUAGUCCACGCCGUAAACGGUGGGCGCUAGGUGUGGGGCACAUUCCACGUGUUCUGCGCCGCAGCUAACGCAUUAAGCGCCCCGCCUGGGGAGUACGGCCGCAAGGCUAAAACUCAAAGGAAUUGACGGGGGCCCGCACAAGCGGCGGAGCAUGCGGCUUAAUUCGACGCAACGCGAAGAACCUUACCAAGGCUUGACAUAUACGGAAAUCUGGCAGAGAUGUCAGGUCCGCAAGGGUCGUAUACAGGUGGUGCAUGGUUGUCGUCAGCUCGUGUCGUGAGAUGUUGGGUUAAGUCCCGCAACGAGCGCAACCCUCGUUCUAUGUUGCCAGCGCGUUAUGGCGGGGACUCAUAGGAGACUGCCGGGGUCAACUCGGAGGAAGGU
rnacentral:rRNA from 1 species